rnacentral:rRNA from 1 species
AUGGUAGGAUAGAGGCCUACCAUGGUGGUAACGGGUAACGGGGAAUUAGGGUUCGAUUCCGGAGAGGGAGCCUGAGAAACGGCUACCACUUCCAAGGAAGGCAGCAGGCGCGCAAAUUACCCAAUCCCGACACGGGGAGGUAGUGACAAUAAAUAACAAUACGGGGCUCUUUAGGGUCUCGUAAUUGGAAUGAGUACAAUUUAAAUCCCUUAACGAGGAACAAUUGGAGGGCAAGUCUGGUGCCAGCAGCCGCGGUAAUUCCAGCUCCAAUAGCGUAUAUNAAAGUUGUUGCAGUUAAAAAGCUCGUAGUUGAAUUUCGGGAUUGACGUGAUGGUCGUGCCUUACGGGGUAUGAACUGUCGCAGUUGAUUUCUCACCUUCUGGAGAAGCUCGAUGUCCUUAAUUGGGUGUCUUGCGGAACCAGGACCUUUACCUUGAAAAAUUAGAGUGUUUAAAGCAGGCAUUUUGCUCGAAUACAUUAGCAUGGAAUAAUAGAAUAGGACGGCAUGGUUCUAUUUUGUUGGUUUCUAGGAUCACCGUAAUGAUUAAUAGGGACAGUUGGGGGCAUUAGUAUUCAAUUGUCAGAGGUGAAAUUCUUGGAUUUAUUGAAGACUAACUACUGCGAAAGCAUUUGCCAAGGAUGUUUUCAUUAAUCAAGAACGAAAGUUAGGGGAUCGAAGACGAUCAGAUACCGUCGUAGUCUUAACCAUAAACUAUGCCGACUAGGAAUCAGACGAUGUAAAUUUUUAAUGACUCGUUUGGCACCUUACGGGAAACCAAAGUGUUUGGG